rnacentral:rRNA from 1 species
GCAUAAUAAAUAGUCUUUUAAUUGAUGACUGGAAUGAAGGGUUUAAACUAAAAAGAAGGUUUUAUUUAAUUAUUUUGAAUUUAAAUUAAAAGUAAAAAUGCUUUUAUGGAGCUUUGGGACGAGAAGACCCUAGAAGCUUAAAAUACUUUGGAAUUUUUGGUUGGGGCAACAUUUGAAGAUAAAAAUUUUUAUAAAAAUUUUAUACUAAUAUAAACUAAGUUACUCUAGGGAUAACAGCAUAAUUUAAUUAACGAGUUCUUAUUAAUAAUUUAAGUUUGUGACCUCGAUGUUGAAUUAAUA